AAAAGGUUACUAUGGUGUUGUGGGAAACCAAAACUAAAAUGAAUAAUAAACAUCUGGGGAUAUUUAGUCUGGAGACAAGAAGUGCCUUGGGGGAAGAAAGCAAUACAAAAUGACCAGAAGAUGAAUCCAAUACAAUAAUCAGCUUCUUGCUCCAUUCUCAAUGGGGUAGGUAUGAGAAAGAGAAGAGUUGGGCAUAGUGAUGGAGAGGAUUUGUUGUUGUCCCAUAAUACCAGGAAGAUCAAAGAAUAUUUUUCUUUUAGUAACAUGGACUGAGAUUGGACUUUUCCAUCUUCCCACAAGAGUAAGAACAUAUUCCAAAAUCAUAUUAGUUGGAGCCCUGAAUGGUUAUGGGAACUGGAUUGGAGGCAGGGAGGAUUGCUUAAGAGACAAGAGAUGGAAAGAAAACGCUUCCAGUCAGUUUUUGCUUUCAUGUUACUGUGAAGUUACUUACAAUGCAUCUGAUUAGUGUUCUUACGUAUCCAGCGGAAUAUUUG
rnacentral:lncRNA from 1 species